UAGACACACUAUCUAUGUGCAAUGAAUCCUCCGAAAAUCCCAUUUAUGGCUUCCUUUGGCCUUCCUCCCUCUAAAUUUCUUUAUAACAUCUUCUUCUUCCCAGAUUUAUUCCAACACAAAAAUAUUCUCUCAAGCAAUGAAUUCCAGCAGCAAUUUUAGUAAUGUCGACAAAGAAAGCUACGCCGUUGCUUUCUUGAGAUGAUGCCUCCUCCGAAGAACUCUCUAUAACUGUUCCGAUUUUCAUUUAUGCGCUCCUUAAAUCGGUGCAUUAACAUGAUUUACCCGAUUCUACCCACUCUCUAGGAUUGGAUUUCCUUCGGUUGGAACUGUAGACCUUAAAGAGAGCUCGAGCAGCUGUUCCGCGAAAGGGAAAUGGCGGUGAUCCUGAUGGAAAUCCAAGUUCGCCAGGAACAUCACCACAUGAUGUCUCAAUGAUCGAUUAAACAGAUGAGUAUCAAGAAGAGGACAAUAAAGAUGAAGCAGAGUUUUUGAUGUAUUGUAUGAUCCAACAACGUCUGAGAAAAUGGGACACACAAGCAGAAACUGAAGUAGAUCGACAGAUAGAAAAACGUUUAUGUGUUAAGUAAGGCAUUUUUGUGAAGAUGGCGGACACAACUACUUCAGGUGUUAAUUGUUGUUGCUAUGAUCCUAGGAGAUGAUAUAUACAAACUUUUAAGCUGAGCCGGACCCUUUUCGGAAUAUUAAACAAGAUCCGAGGUGGAGCUGGUUCGAGAACCUCCUCCUUUCCCAUUGACACUAAAGAUAUCAGCAUAGAACAAGAUUCUUCCUUAAAGACCAUAUUCCUUCAUGGUUUGCAGGUGGAGGCUAUGAGCUUUGCUUAGCUGAAUAGUACUACAUUCUGGCCAUCUCUGUCUUCGCCUAAGUCUUGGCUUUAUGCCAUGCUUAUGGAGCCGGGCUCACGGUUUGUUCACUAGCCAACCUAUGAAAAAAACUUGCCAUGUUUACAAUCAGAGCAUAGGCUGGUUCAGACCAUGUAGGUCUUCUUGCACAUAGUAUCGAGAGCUUCAGAACUGACACAAGAUCAAGACAGGUUACCUAAUAUUGUCAUCUCCAAGGGUUAUGUUUGUGAGCCAAGUGAUUGGAACAGCAGUGGGAGGUUUGGUUUCGCCCUGUCUGUUCUGGCUUUUCUACAAGUUUUUUACUGUUUUCUGAAUUUCGGCUUGGUUUAGAAUACAACUGCGAUCUUUGUAUUUUGUUACUGAAGUUCUUUCUACAUGUUUGUUUCUUAACUGUCUUUUAAGGUUUCAUUCUCAGGGGUUAAUAGAUCUCAAAACACCAAUAGCUCUACCUGGUCGCGGUCAGGUUAAGCGUUUCGACCAUUCUCUUCUACGAACUUCAAAUUCUUCAAAGCAUGAGUUACCUGUGCUGUGCCUAAUGAGAGGUUUAACGAUGAUGAUUAACAAGCUGAGGAUGAGUUUAGAUUAGCGCCGAUACCAAGAGCUUCGCCCCAUGGAUAAGUUGUGGCGUUCUCUUUGUGGAGUAGAGCUACUAAGCUUUUAGCCUUAAUAUUCUAAUCAUUUUUGUGAACUUCCAUUUUGUAUGUGUAGUUUGAUUUUCUUUUGCAAGUGUGAUUAAAUGUCAGCUUCAAGAUUUAUCCCCUCUCAUCAUGUUCUCUUUUUU